CAGUAGUCAUAUGCUUGUCUCAGAGAUUAAGCCAUGCAUGUCUAAGUUCAUGCCUUUAUACGGUGAAACCGCGAAUGGCUCAUUAAAUCAGCUAUGGUUUAUUGGAUCGUACCCGUUAAAUGGAUAACUGUAAUAACUCUAGAGCUAAUACAUGCCACGAAGCCCUGACCCCGCUUGUCGGGGAAUGGGUGCACUUAUUAGAACAGAAGCCAACCAGCCUUUUGGCUGUAGCACUUCUGGUGACUCUGGAUAAUUGUUACAGAUCGCAGUCGGCUUUAUGUCGGCGACGGGUCCUUCAAAUGUCUGCCCUAUCAACUUUCGAUGGUAGGUGACCUGCCUACCAUGGUGAUAACGGGUAACGGGGAAUCAGGGUUCGAUUCCGGAGAGGGAGCCUGAGAAACGGCUACCACUUCCAAGGGAGGCAGCAGGCGCGCAAAUUAUCCACUCCCAGCACGGGGAGAUGGUGACGAAAAAUACCGAUGCGGGACUCAUCUACGAGGCUCCGUAAUCGGAAUGAGUGGACUCUAAAUCCUUUCACGAGGAUCAAUUGGAGGGCAAGUCUGGUGCCAGCAGCCGCGGUAACUCCAGCUCCAAUAGCGUAUAUUAAAGUUGCUGCAAGUUAAAAAGCUCGUAGUUGGAUCUCGGUAGCAUUGUUGCCUGCUUAGUUAUCGUGCACUGCGGUGUGCCUCUUAUCAUUGUGUGCUCGUAUGGCUUCGCUGUGCGAGUACCGUGGUGGGUAGUACAUAAAAACUGUAGUGCAAUGAGCUGGCAUGGCGAUGGUGUCACCUUUGAGCCAUGUCUGUGGUGUAACAGCCACAGGUGUAAGUGAGUGUCGGGCAGUGUCCUGCACUUGUGUGGGGCCUCGUCGGCUCAUUUACAUUGCCAAUGGAUGCCCUUCAAAAGGUUCAUGGGCGGAUGGCAACGUUUACUUUUGGAACAAAAUUGAGUGCUCAAAUCAGGCCGAUGUUGCCUGAAAAGUUUUGCAUGGAAUAAUGGAAUAGGACUUCGGUUCUAUUUCGUUGGUUUUCGGAUCCGAAGUAAUGAUCAAAAGAGACAGGCGGGGACGUUUGUAUGGCUGCGCUAGAGGUGAAAUUCAUGGACCGUAGCCAGACAAACUAAAGCGAAAGCAUUCGUCAAGCAUGUUUUCAUUGACCAUGAGCGAAAGUCAGAGGCUCGAAGACGAUCAGAUACCGUCCUAGUUCUGACCAUAAACGAUGCCAACUGACGAUCCGUGGUGGAAGUCUACAAACCUUCCCCACGGGCAGUCCCCGGGAAACCUUUAAGUCUUUGGGUUCCGGGGGAAGUAUGGUUGCAAAGCUGAAACUUAAAGGAAUUGACGGAAGGGCACCACCAGGAGUGGAGCCUGCGGCUUAAUUUGACUCAACACGGGAAAACUCACCCGGGCCGGACACUAUGAGGAUUGACAGAUUGAUAGCUCUUUCUUGAUCGG
rnacentral:rRNA from 1 species